rnacentral:rRNA from 2 species
UGGGCAGGUUGAAGGUUGGGUAACACUAACUGGAGGACCGAACCGACUAAUGUUGAAAAAUUAGCGGAUGACCUGUGGCUGGGGGUGAAAGGCCAAUCAAACCGGGAGAUAGCUGGUUCUCCCCGAAAGCUAUUUAGGUAGCGCCUCGUGAAUUCAUCUCCGGGGGUAGAGCACUGUUUCGGCUAGGGGGCCAUCCCGGCUUACCAACCCGAUGCAAACUGCGAAUACCGGAGAAUGUUAUCACGGGAGACACACGGCGGGUGCUAACGUCCGUCGUGAAGAGGGAAACAACCCAGACCGCCAGCUAAGGUCCCAAAGUCAUGGUUAAGUGGGAAACGAUGUGGGAAGGCCCAGACAGCCAGGAUGUUGGCUUAGAAGCAGCCAUCAUUUAAAGAAAGCGUAAUAGCUCACUGGUCGAGUCGGCCUGCGCGGAAGAUGUAACGGGGCUAAACCAUGCACCGAAGCUGCGGCAGCGACACUGUGUGUUGUUGGGUA